rfam:Trichococcus sp. R210 isolate Trichococcus_R210 genome assembly, contig: TR210DRAFT_scaffold-23
UCCACCGUGAGGUGGAAUCUGAAGGAAGCUGAAAGCAAAUUGAAUAUAGUAAAACGGGAUAGAACUUUUAUAGUAGUGACUCGAGAUUGCUGGAUAUAGUCUCUAUUGCUAGUAAAAUGAGAUUUUAGC